rnacentral:rRNA from 1 species
AGAGUUUGAUCAUGGCUCAGAAUCAACGCUGGCGGCGUGCCUAACACAUGCAAGUCGAACGCGAAAGGGGAGCAAUCCCUGAUUAGAGUGGCAAACGGGUGAGUAACACGUGGGUGACCUGCCUUCGAGUGGGGGAUAACCUUCCGAAAGGAGGGCUAAUACCGCAUGACAUACCGUGUUUGGAUACACGGAUAUCAAAGCCGGGGAUCGCAAGACCUGGCGCUUGGAGAGGGGCCCGCGUCCGAUUAGCUAGUUGGUGAGGUAACGGCUCACCAAGGCUCCGAUCGGUAUCCGGCCUGAGAGGGCGGACGGACACACUGGAACUGAGACACGGUCCAGACUCCUACGGGAGGCAGCAGUGGGGAAUUGUUCGCAAUGGGCGAAAGCCUGACGACGCAACGCCGCGUGGAGGAUGAAGAAUUUCGGUUCGUAAACUCCUUUCGACCGAGAUGAAUAUCCCGCGAUCUAAUAAGUCGCGGGACUGACAGUAUCGAGAGAAGAAGCCCCGGCUAACUCUGUGCCAGCAGCCGCGGUAAUACA